rnacentral:rRNA from 1 species
CGCGCCCGGCCCGCCGCCCCCGCCCCCCUACGGGAGGCAGCAGUGAGGAAUAUUGGUCAAUGGGCGCAAGCCUGAACCAGCGACGCCGCGUGGGGGAUGAAGGGGCUUUGCCUCGUAAACCUCUGUCGGAUGGGACGAAAGGUGGCUUUGAGCCACUGGGACGGUACCAUCAAAGGAAGGAUCGGCUAACUACGUGCCAGCAGCCGCGGUAAUACGUAGGAUCCGAGCGUUGUCCGGAGUUACUGGGUGUAAAGGGUGCGUAGGCUGUUCUGUGCGUCAGAGGUGAAAUCCACGGGCUUAACUCGUGGGGUGCCUAUGAUACGGCAGGGCUUGAGUACGAGAGAGGUGCGUGGAAUUCCUGGUGUAGCAGUGAAAUGCGUAGAUAUCAGGAGGAACACCGGUGGCGAAGGCGGCGCACUGGCUCGUAACUGACGAUGAGGCACGAAAGCGUGGGGAUCAAACAGGAUUAGAUACCCUGGUAGUCCACGC